AUUGCCUUAGUAACGGCGAGUGAAGCGGCAACAGCUCAAAUUUGAAAUCUGGCCUCUUUGGGGUCCGAGUUGUAAUUUGGAGAGGAUGUUUCGGGUACGGUCCGGGCUUAUAUUUCUUGGAACAGAAUGUCAUAGAGGGUGAGAAUCCCGUCUGGAGUCCGGACACGGCCUAUGUGAAACUCCUUCGACGAGUCGAGUUGUUUGGGAAUGCAGCUCUAAAUGGGUGGUAAAUUUCAUCUAAAGCUAAAUAUUGGCCAGAGACCGAUAGCGCACAAGUAGAGUGAUCGAAAGAUGAAAAGCACUUUGAAAAGAGAGUUAAAAAGUACGUGAAAUUGUUGAAAGGGAAGCGCUGGCAACCAGACUUGCACGUCGGGGUUCCCCCUUGCUUUUGCCUGGGUUACUCCCCGGCGUUCAGGCCAACAUCGGUUUCGGGGGUUGGUUAAAGGCCUUAGGAAUGUACUUACCCUCCGGGGUAAACUUAUAGCCUAGGGUGUCAUGCGACCUCCCGGGACCGAGGAACGCGCUUCGGCUCGGAUGUUGGCGUAAUGGUUGUCAGCGACCCGUCUUGAAACACGGACCAAGGAGUCUAACAUCUAUGCGAGUGUUAGGGUGUCAAACCCUUACGCGGAAUGAAAGUGAACGGAGGUAGGAAGCCGUUAGGCUGCACUAUCGACCGAUCCUGAAGUUUACGGAUGGAUUUGAGUAAGAGCAUAGCUGUUGGGACCCGAAAGAUGGUGAACUAUGCCUGAAUAGGGUGAAGCCAGAGGAAACUCUGGUGGAGGCUCGCAGCGGUUCUGACGUGCAAAUCGAUCGUCAAAUUUGGGUAUAGGGGCGAAGACUAAUCGAACCAUCUGGUAGCUGGUUCCUGCCG
rnacentral:rRNA from 1 species